rnacentral:lncRNA from 1 species
CCUACUAUUAAUUUUUUUAGUGAUUUGACAUAAGAGAUUUGACAAUAAAGAAAUUUAUGUUAUCAGGUUCUAAAGUUUCUAGUUUUUAUAAGGUCUAAAGUCUCAACAUGGAAUUGUAGGACACAAGUUGCUUCAUCUCUAAUCUCUUCGUUAUUAAUUUGACUUAUAGAGAGACUAAUUGGGUAUGGACUGCUUGCUACCCACAUACUAGGGGCUGGGAAGAAAAUUCUUGUUUGUAAGACAGGAAAUAACAAAACUGAGAAACCAGUGCUUGCAAAGGACCAAAGGUAACUGCACCUCCUAAGCAACUGGUUUCGACAACCAAUUCAUUGUCGAAGGAUGCCUGUUUCAGUAUCAAUAAGGAUUUUUCUGUUCUGAUCAUGGUUCACAAGCGAGAAAAAUUGAAUCUAGAAGCUUCUAUUACUGCGACAGAGUUGCCGACGAUAUAGGGAUUUGGAAAAGAUGGUGAAGUUGGGCUGAGAGAUUUGGGUGAUAUUCAGUUUGGGUAGUGAGUAGGUAUGAGUCGUGGCUUGUGUUUCUAAGCUGGCUAUGUGUAUUUGUAGGUCUAGGUGGG